CCCAGCCAGUAUAGUGGAUAUGACCCUCGGCUUGUAACCGAGUGUGUUCGGGUUCGAAUCCCGUAUUUUCUUCGGGA